CCUACGGGAGGCUGCAGUGGGGGAUAUUGGACAAUGGGGGAAACCCUGAUCCAGCGACGCCGCGUGAGUGAAGAAGUAUUUCGGUAUGUAAAGCUCUGUCAGCAGGGAAGAAAGAAAUGACGGUACCUGACCAAGAAGCCCCGGCUAAAUACGUGCCAGCAGCCGCGGCAAUACGUAGGGGGCAAGCGUUAUCCGGAAUUACUGGGUGUAAAGGGAGCGUAGACGGUGAUGCAAGUCUGGAGUGAAAGGCGGGGGCCCAACCCCCGGACUGCUCAGGAAACUGGGUAACUUGAGUGCAGGAGAGGUAAGCGGAAUUCCUGGUGUAGCGGUGAAAUGCGUAGAUAUUGGGAGGAACACCAGUGGCGAAGGCGGCUUACUGAACUGUAACUGACGUUGAGGCUCGAAAGCGUGGGGAGCAAACAGGAUUAGAUACCCUUGUAGUC
rnacentral:rRNA from 1 species